GACAAACGCUGGCGGCGUGCCUAACACAUGCAAGUCGAGCGCGAAAGGGACCUUCGGGUCCCCUGAAAGCGGCGAACGGGUGAGUAACACGUGGGCAACCUGCCUCAAGGACUGGGAUAACACCGGGAAACCGGUGCUAAUACCGGGCGAUGUCGUCUCGUGCAAGCGAGCCGACCAAAUGGUAGCUUCGGCCUCCGCCUUGAGAUGGGCCCGCGUCCUAUCAGCUUGUUGGUGAGGUAAUGGCUCACCAAGGCUACGACGGGUAGCUGGUCUGAGAGGAUGAUCAGCCACACUGGGACUGAGAUACGGCCCAGACUCCUACGGGAGGCAGCAGUGGGGAAUCUUGCGCAAUGGGCGAAAGCCUGACGCAGCAACGCCGCGUGAGCGAAGAAGGCCUU
rnacentral:rRNA from 1 species